CAGUAGCCGCGGUAAUACAGAGGGUGCGAGCGUUAAUCGGAUUUACUGGGCGUAAAGCGUGCGUAGGCGGCUUCUUAAGUUGGAUGUGAAAUCCCUGAGCUUAACUUAGGAAUUGCAUUCGAUACUGGGAAGCUAGAGUAUGGGAGAGGAUGGUAGAAUUCCAGGUGUAGCGGUGAAAUGCGUAGAGAUCUGGAGGAAUACCGAUGGCGAAGGCAGCCAUCUGGCCUAAUACUGACGCUGAGGUACGAAAGCAUGGGGAGCAAACAGGAUUAGAUACCCGUGUAGUCCCUGUCUCUUAUAA
rnacentral:rRNA from 1 species